rnacentral:rRNA from 1 species
UCGAGGGGCAGCACGAUGUAGCAAUACAUUGGUGGCGACCGGCGCACGGGUGAGUAACGCGUAUGCAACCUACCUAUCAGAGGGGAAUAACCCGGCGAAAGUCGGACUAAUACCGCAUAAAACAGGGGUUCCACAUGGAAAUAUUUGUUAAAGAAUUAUCGCUGAUAGAUGGGCAUGCGUUCCAUUAGAUAGUUGGUGAGGUAACGGCUCACCAAGUCCACGAUGGAUAGGGGUUCUGAGAGGAAGGUCCCCCACACUGGUACUGAGACACGGACCAGACUCCUACGGGAGGCAGCAGUGAGGAAUAUUGGUCAAUGGGCGAGAGCCUGAACCAGCCAAGUCGCGUGAAGGAUGAAGGAUCUAUGGUUUGUAAACUUCUUUUAUAUGGGAAUAAAGUGAGGAACGUGUUCCUUUUUGUAUGUACCAUAUGAAUAAGCAUCGGCUAACUCCGUGCCAGCAGCCGCGGUAAUACGGAGGAUGCGAGCGUUAUCCGGAUUUAUUGGGUUUAAAGGGUGCGUAGGUGGUUAAUUAAGUCAGCGGUGAAAGUUUGUGGCUCAACCAUAAAAUUGCCGUUGAAACUGGUUGACUUGAGUAUAUUUGAGGUAGGCGGAAUGCGUGGUGUAGCGGUGAAAUGCAUAGAUAUCACGCAGAACUCCGAUUGCGAAGGCAGCUUACUAAACUAUAACUGACACUGAAGCACGAAAGCGUGGGGAUCAAACAGGAUUAGAUACCCUGGUAGUCCACGCAGUAAACGAUGAUUACUAGCUGUUUGCGAUACACAGUAAGCGGCACAGCGAAAGCGUUAAGUA